UGGGGAAUAUUGCACAAUGGGCGAAAGCCUGAUGCAGCAACGCCGCGUGAGUGAUGAAGGCCUUCGGGUUGUAAAGCUCUGUCUUCUGGGACGAUAAUGACGGUACCAGAGGAGGAAGCCACGGCUAACUACGUGUCAGCAGCCGCGGUAAUACGUAGGUGGCAAGCGUUGUCCGGAUUUACUGGGCGUAAAGGAUGCGUAGGCGGAUACUUAAGUCAGAUGUGAAAAUCCCGGGUUUGACUUGGGAACUGCAUUUGAAACUGGGUAUCUAGAGUGCGGGAGAGGAAAGUGGAAUUCCUAGUGUAGCGGUGAAAUGCGUAGAGAUUAGGAAGAACACCAGUGGCGAAGGCGACUUUCUGGACCGUAACUGACGCUGAGGCAUGAAAGCGUGGGGAGCAAACA
rnacentral:rRNA from 1 species